rnacentral:lncRNA from 1 species
ACAAAAGCAGUCUUCUUCUUGCACUGUAAACUCUCACAAAGUUCUCAUUUUUCCUUAAAGAAGAAGAAAAAAAGGGUCCUCCACAUCUACAGCCAUGCCGAGUGAAGGAACAGCAAACUUCAUAGACAUCCUCAUAGCCAUCCUCUUGCCUCCUCUUGGCGUCUUCCUCAAGUUUGGCUGCCACGUUAGUAUCUUUUAAAACUUAAUUUGGAGCUCAUUAACUUAUUUAGUAUGUGUUUGUGUGUGUUUAUAGAACUUAAUUCUGAUGUAAUUGAUAUGGUUCUUAUAAUUAUAUUUGCUGAAUUUGUGAUUUUCAGGUUGAAUUCUGGAUCUGUCUGUUGCUGACUAUUUUUGGUUACAUCCCUGGGAUUAUCUAUGCUGUCUAUGCCAUAACUAAAUGAGACUUCAAUUUCUGUAAGAACCCACAUCUCUAUUUCACUGAAAAUUUUAUCUUCUGUUUGAUAUUUCAAUACAACAAAGAAAAGAGGGAGUUUUCCCAAAGUUAGGAAGGGGAAGGGGACGGGGGUUUUUCUUACGCACACACUGUAAAUAUGUCUGCAAGUUACGGCCAUUUUUUAUUACUGGGCUAAAACAUAAAAAAGAGAGGAGUACUUUAAACUGCAUGAUUAAGCAAACAUACCUUUCAUUGGGUCAGCAGGCCAGCUAUGAUUUAAGAGGAGAAAAUGGGUAGCUGUUGGUCCACAUGACAGGGCCUGCACUAAAUUCAUGCCAUCAUCGUUCUCAUACUUUUACUUUUCUUGUUUGACAGGUACGUAGAGAUGUGAAGGGCACAUAUGUCUUUUGGUUUCUGAAUUAUGGGAUUGGUUUCAACCGUUUGAUGGAUAGCGCUUUAUCUGGUGUAUCCAGAUGGACGGUUGAUACUUCAUGUAGUGUUGUUUUGUCAAUUGUUCAUUUAUUUUUCUUUUCUUCCUUUUGAUUUUAUCCUCCUUCCACCUCCUUAUCAAUCUGUUGUAAAGGGUGGAUGGUAGGUCUGGUGAUUCAUGUCUCUUAAAACAUUAGUUAUUUAUUUUUCAAUGUGACUUGUGUUCUAAUCCCACCCUAUUGGGUUUGGAGGUAUCAGUGGCUUUUUGACUGCUUCAUAUUUUAUUAUAUGUAACUUUAUUAUUAAGCAAAGGGAACAUCAGAACAACCCCUCCAAUCAUAAUCAGGCCACAUAUUCCUUCGACCAUGUAGAAUUAGCA